UACGGGGGGGGCAAGCGUUGUUCGGAUUCACUGGGCGUAAAGGGUGCGUAGGUGGCCAGGUAAGUUUGGUGUGAAAGCUCGGAGCUUAACUCCGAAAUGUCAUUGAUACUAUCUGGCUGGAGGGUCGGAGGGGAGACUGGAAUUCUCGGUGUAGCAGUGAAAUGCGUAGAUAUCGAGAGGAACACCAGUGGCGAAGGCGAGUCUCUGGACGACUCCUGACACUGAGGCACGAAAGCCGGGGGAGCAAACAGG
rnacentral:rRNA from 1 species